rnacentral:rRNA from 1 species
UUCCAGACUCCUACGGGAGGCAGCAGUAGGGAAUCUUCCACAAUGGGCGAAAGCCUGAUGGAGCAACGCCGCGUGGGUGAAGAAGGUCUUCGGAUCGUAAAACCCUGUUGUUAGAGAAGAAAGUGCGUGAGAGUAACUGUUCACGUUUCGACGGUAUCUAACCAGAAAGCCACGGCUAACUACGUGCCAGCAGCCGCGGUAAUACGUAGGUGGCAAGCGUUAUCCGGAUUUAUUGGGUUUAAAGGGUGCGCAGGCGGAAUGUCAAGUCAGCGGUAAAAUUUCGGGGCUCAACCCCGUCGUGCCGUUGAAACUGGCGUUCUUGAGUGAGCGAGAAGUAUGCGGAAUGCGUGGUGUAGCGGUGAAAUGCAUAGAUAUCACGCAGAACUCCGAUUGCGAAGGCAGCAUACCGGCGCUCAACUGACGCUCAUGCACGAAAGCGUGGGUAUCGAACAGGAUUAGAUACCCGUGUACAU